UAUAGAUAUAACAGAAAGGGUUGGUGCGUUUCCAAAUGGUGGGUCGGAUAAAGUUUCAUUCAGUAUUUGUGUUUUAAUGGGGAAGAAUGUUUUGUCUAUGUGAGGAGAACACCUCCAUUCUUUCUUUUUUUGUCCCUCUAAAUGGACUACAUACUGAGAUUGGGAUGUUACAUUUUUGUGUCCAGACGUGUUAGUCGCGGUUCCAUUUCAUUGGGGUGUUUUAAUGGUGCUGCAAACUUCCAUAAUUGGAAGUUGGAAACAGAGCUCCUGUCCAUGGAAAUGUUCGAGGUAUUCAUGAGAAGACACCGAAUGCUAAGCGUUUAACUCAUUGAAAAAAUCAUGGAAGGGACAUUAAUGAGGCUAUGAAUAUCUUUGUAGUGUCAACCUAUUGCAGAUCUUGCCAUAAACAUGUUUUAAUCUCUGCAAGUUUUAAGCACUGAUUUCCCCUUCGGAACAAAUUGGAGAUAUUUUUUCUAGCAUUCAACUGGAAAGCAGAAUUGGAGUUGACUUCAAUUUGGAUACUUUGCCUAUAGCAGUGUUGUUUGAUUUCUUUGGUAAGAAAUUGCAACCUGGGUUCUAAUAUAGUAUAUUUUGGUUCCUUUUAAUGGCUUCAUUUAGAAGAAAUUUGCCUCCAGUGCCACAAGUUGUAGCUAUGCAGAAUGGGGAAGUGCACUCAGUGGCUUCUCCCUUGUCCAAGUCGUCAUCCUGUAAUCCAGGCUACCUACCAUUGGGAGGAUCUUUAUCCUCACAGUCUGUUUUAAUGGAUUCCUAUUCAGUUAUAUAUAGACUUCAAGCUGCUCUUCUUAGUAUACUCCCUUGGAGAUAUCGGCCCUUAGAGAGGUCAAAAUCAAAGGGGCAACUAUGGCGGAGGGCUUUCGUCCAUUUCUUUAUUUGCUUUGUGGUUGGAAUUUUCAUUGGUUUGACCCCUAUUAUCUCAAUGAAUGUCUCAACAAAUCUUGGGUCCAAGAACCAGGCCUUCUCCUUUGAGGUCAUUGCUCCAAAUGGAAAUGCACGCCAAUAUGAAGGUACCUCAAACAAGGGACCUUAUGUUGAGACUAAAAGAGUAAAGGACAACAAUGCCAGUUUAGAGACUCAGGCAGUGAAAAAGGAGUUGCUGCUUGGAAUUUCUGAUGAUAAACAGGAUACCCAGUUACCACUUCAAGAUUCAGAUCUUAUGUACAGGAAGCUUUUGAUAAUUGUGACACCUACUUAUGCUCAUCCAUUGCAAGCCUAUUACCUGAAUCGUCUAGCUCAGACAUUAAGACUGGUCCCUCCUCCUCUACUCUGGAUUGUCGUGGAGAUGUUCUCGCAAUCUGCUGAGACAGCUGAAAUCUUGAGGAAAACAGGUGUUAUGUAUAGACAUCUUGUGUGCUGCAAGAACCUAACCAAUGUAAGAGAUAGACGUGUUCACCAAAGAAAUUUGGCAUUGUCUCACAUUGAAAGACAUCGUCUUGAUGGAAUCGUGAACUUUGCUGAUGAUGAUAAUGUGUAUUCCAUCAAUCUUUUUGAUGAAAUGAGGGAAAUCAGGCGUUUUGGUACAUGGCCGGUUGCCUUAUUAACAGCAAGCAGAAGUAAAGCAGUACUAGAGGCCCCUGUCUGUAAUGACAGCCAAGUUAUUGGAUGGCACACAAACAGAAGAAACAGGAGAUUCCAUUCUGAAAUGUCAGGCUUUGCCUUCAAUAGUACCAUACUUUGGGACCCAAAGAGAUGGCACCGGUCCACUCUUGAACCCAUUAGGCAGCUUGACACAGUCAAGGAAGAAAUCCAAGAGACUAUGUUCAUUGAACAAAUUGUGGAGGAUGAAAGCCAAAUGGAAGGCUUAGGAAAGGACUGCUCCAGAAUCAUGGUUUGGCAUCUUCAUCUAGAAUCAUCCCAUCCUUUCUAUCCUCAUGGGUGGAUCAUGAAGAAAAAUCUAGACACAGUUGCACCGCUCAUUUGAAGCUUGGCAUGUUGCAAUAAAUCCUUUUGAAGAACCAAAUGGUUGUAGUCUUUCAGACAAAAAUGGGGUUUUCAAAGCAUUCUGCUGCCAUAUGGGAAGAUUGGUUUCAAGAUGUGGCUAUUUUCUGUCAAUACCUUCUCAUCUCCAGUUGGACUCCAGCAGUCUUACAGCCUUACUAGCAUUAAUUUAUGAGGGUUUCGGGUACCAUUUGGCAUGGAAAGCAAGUAUUUUUUGUUCUAGUCUCUUUUUUAGAUUCCUUUAUUUAUUUUUUUUUUGGGUAGCAUUUUUCUCUUUCUUUCAUAGGCUAAAAAUCUUUGUACAGUUAUUUGAGUUCUUGAUCUUCCAAGCUUGUCCUUGGUUGCUCUCCUCCAAAAGGGAUAUUGAAGUUGAAAACUAUCAUCCCAGCUAGGAGGUGCAAGUCUUCAGG